rnacentral:rRNA from 1 species
UACAGAGGUCUCAAGCGUUGUUCGGAUUCAUUGGGCGUAAAGGUGCGUAGGUGGCGCUGUAAGUCGGGUGUGAAAUUUCGGAGCUUAACUCCGAACUGCAUUCGAUACUGCGGUGCUUGAGGACUGGAGAGGAGACUGGAAAUUCAUGGUGAGCAGUGAAAAUGCGUAGAGAUCAUGAGGAAGACCAGUGGCGAAGGCGGGUCUCUGGACAGUUCUGACAUGAGGCACGAAGCCAGGGAGCAAACGG